rnacentral:miRNA from 1 species
CAGUGCAAUGUUAAAAAGGCAU